ensembl:lncRNA
CCCACCCGCGUGGAGCGCGCGGCCGAGGCCACCAUCAACAUGGGCAGCAAGGUGGUGGCCGGGGUGGCCAUGACCAACCUGCCGGGCGUCGUGGUUUUGGCCUUCGCCAAAGCGCAGCUCAUCCAGAUCUUCUUCUUCCGUCUCAAUUUCAUCAUCACGCUGGUGGGCCUCGCUCACGGCCUCGUCUUCCUGCCCGUCCUGCUCAGCUACAUGGGUCCCGCACCGCUCAGCGUGGAGGGCACCAAAGAUGGCAUGGAGGGCAUCAAAGAUGACGUGGAGGGCACCAGAUCCGGUACUGAAGACACCAGAUCCGGCACAGGGGGCACUGGAUUUGGCACGGGGGGCACCAGGUUUGGCACAGAGGGCACCACAGUUGACGUUGGUGACACCAAACCCGGUGGCACGGAGGGCACCAAGGCCGGCGCGGUGUGGGGCGCAGCCUUCGCCAACCCCAGCUUUGAGGACGCGGCGCAGUGCUGACGCCGCUGCCCCCACGGCCCUUUUCUGUGCUGCUGUAUUUAAAGAGGUUUUCUCAGAGAUGAUGGGUUUGUGGGGGUUUUGGGGGGUUUUGUGUCUGAUUACCUGGGCGUGGGCACCGUGGGGCCACCAUGUGGGUACUGGGAUGGACAGCUUGGGGACAAAGCUGUGUGGGACACACGGACGGACAUCCUGACACACGGACAUGUUGGGGACAAAAGCACAUGGGACCCAUAAAAGGACAGCGUGGGGACAGGGACACGGGGGACACUGGAUGGCAUCCUGGGGACAAAGCUGUGUGGACACCUAUGGGCAUCUUGGGGACGGGGACACACAGACACCUUGGGGACAAGGUAGUGUGGGACCCAUAAAAGGACAUCUUGGGGACAGGGACACAGGGACACAUGGAUGGCAUCCUGGGGACAGGAUGACAUGGGACACGUAGGGCACAUGGAUGGACACCUUGGGGACAAAGCUGUGUGGGACACACGGACACCCUGGGGACAGGAGCAUGUGGGACACACGGACGGACGUCUCGGGGAUGGGGACACAUUGGGGACAUGGAUGGACGUCCUGGGGACAGGGACACACAGACACCUUGGGGACAAGGCAGUAUUGGGACCCAUAGAGGGACACCUUGGGGACAGGGACACAGAGGACACACGGACACCUUGGGGACAAAGCUGUGUGGGACACACGGACGGACGUCUUGGGAUGGGGACACAUUGGGGACAUGGAUGGACGUCCUGGGGACGGGGACACACAGACACCUUGGGGACAAGGCAGUGUGGGACCCAUAAAAGGACAUCUUGGGGACAGGGACACGGGGACACGUGGAUGGCAUCCUGGGGACAGGAUGACAUGGGACACGUAGGGCACAUGGAUGGACAUCUUGGGGACAAAGCUGUGUAGGACACACGGACACCUUGGGGGCAGGAGCAUGUGGGACACACGGACGGACGUCUUGGGAUGGGGACACAUUGGGGACAUGGAUGGACAUCCUGGGGACAGGGACACACGGACACCUUGGGGACAAAACCACAUGAGACCCAUAGAGGGACACCUUGGGGACAGGGACACAGAGGACACACGGACACCUUGGGGACAAAGCUGUGUGGGACACAUGGACACCUUGGGACAGGAUGACAUGGGACACGUGGGCAUCAUGGGGACAGGGACAUGUGGGACACACGGACACCUUGGGGACACACGGAUGGACGUCCUGGGACCAGGACCCCAAAGGACGCACAUCACAUCUGCAGUGGGAUGGGAUCCUGUGAGCCCACGGGGUGAAUGGGGACGGUGGGGGGGGACCCCAUGGGACUGAGACCCCAAAGGGCACCGACCCCAGUGGGGAUGGGAUCCUAUGGGAUCAGGACCCCAAAGCUGUAAGGGAACGGCAGGGGUGGGUCUCUAUGGGAUCAGGACCCCAAAGGGCUCAAUGGGGUCAGGUCCAUAUGGGAUUGAGACCCCACAGGACAUAUGGGAAUGGCAGGGAUGGGUCUCCAUGGGAUCGAGACCCCAAAGGGAAAACAUCCACAGUGGGGAUGGGAUCCUAUGAGAUCAGGACCCCAUGGGGCAAAUGGGAUGACAGGGAUGGGUCUCUAUGGGAUUGAGACCCCACAGGACAUAUGGGAACAGCGGGGAUGGGUCUCCAUGGGAUUGAGACCCCAAGUGGCUCAGUGGGGUCAGGUCCAUAUGGGAUGAAGACCCCACAGGACAUAUGGGAACAGCGGGGAUGGGUCUCCAUGGGAUCAGGACCCCAAAGGGCUCAAUGGGGUCAGGUCCAUAUGGGAUGAAGACCCCACAGGACAUAUGGGAACGGUGGGGGUGGGUCUCCACGGGAUUGAGACCCCAAAGGGAAAACAUCCACAGUGGGGAUGGGAUCCUAUGGGAUCAGGACCCCAAGGCUGAAAGGGAACGGCAGGGAUGGGUCUCUAUGGGAUCAGGACCCCAAGUGGCUCAGUGGGGUCAGGUCCAUAUGGGAUGAAGACCCCACAGGACAUAUGGGAACGGCGGGGAUAGGUCU